GCAGCUCAGUCGGUAGAGUAUGAGACUCUUAAUCUCAGGGUCGUGGGACUGAGCCCUGUGCUGGGCA